rnacentral:lncRNA from 1 species
AAAAAUCCAAAAAUUAGCCGGGCGUGGUGGCAGGCGCCUGUACUCCCAGCUACUCCGGAGGCUGAGGCAGGAGAAUCGCUUGAACCCGGGAGGUGGAGGUUGCAGUAAACUGAGAUCUCACCACUGCACUCCAGCCUGGGUGACAGAAUGAGACACCGUCUGAAAAUAAUAAUAAUAAUAAUAAUAAUAAUAAAGAAUGGUACAAGUAAAAGGCACUGAGGGGCGGGGGGGCAGGCCGCCUAGAGGAAGCUCUAGGGAGCCCCGGAAGCCCGGGACAUAGCUUUCCCUUUGAAAGUCUCCACCUGGGAGCCUAGUGGGCACAAAAGAGGUGGGGCUAAUUACUGAGGACAGAGCCUUAGGACUUUGGGGAGAGGAGAGCCAUGUGACCUUGGGGAGCAAGAGACAAAUUUGAGCCCCGAUUUCCUCAUCUGUAAAAUAAGGACAUAGUAUCCAUUUCAUAGGGACAUCAGGAAAACUGGAUGCAAAGAGCAAUGGCUAAGCACCUGCAAUACUUCAUUUCUUUUUGAGACAGGGUCUCACUGUCACCCACGCCCAGGUUCAAGUAGAGUAGCGCAAUCUCAGUUCACUGCAACCUUGACCUCCCAGGCUCAGGUGAUCCUCCCAACUCAGCCUCUCAAGAAGCUGUAACUAUAGGCACGUGCUACCACGCCUGGCUAAUUUGUGUGUGUGGUUUUUUUUUUUUUUUUUUUUUUUUGAGACGGAGCCUCACUCUGUCACCCAGGCUGGAGUGCAGUGGCCUGGUGUUGGCUCACUGCAACCUCUGCCUCCUGGG